rnacentral:tRNA from 1 species
GUUAGAGUGGCAGAACCCGGACAUUGCAAAAGGCCUAAGCCCUUUCUACAGAGGUUCAAGUCCUCUCUCUAACU